GAUGGGACACUUUGUUGCGAGAUGCUUGAAAAACAAAAACAAGAACGAGGGCGAAAACAAAUAUAAUGCCUCAUAGAUACAGGAAGCCCAAUUUCAUUUAUUAAAAUAUCCAAAGUGCCAGAAGACAUUUCAAAAUUACCAGUUUUAAGUUCAUAUUAUGGUUUAAACAAAAGUUACCUAAAAACUUAUGGAAAAAUACUAUGUUAUGUUUUGAAAAAUUUAAAUAAAGUACAUUUUAAUUUA